rnacentral:rRNA from 1 species
ACGUAGGGUGCGAGCGUUGUCCGGAUUUAUUGGGCGUAAAGAGCUCGUAGGCGGCUCGUCGCGUCGUCCGUGAAAACCCGCAGCUUAACUGCGGGCUUGCGGUUGAUACGGGCGGGCUAGAGUUCGGUAGGGGAGACUGGAAUUCCUGGUGUAGCGGUGAAAUGCGCAGAUAUCAGGAGGAACACCGGUGGCGAAGGCGGGUCUCUGGGCCGAUACUGACGCUGAGGAGCGAAAGCGUGGGGAGCGAACAGGA